CCCAACAUAUUGAAUAUCAUACAUCGACCAAUGAAGUUGAGACAUUAAUUGGGUUGAACAGCUUCGUUGAGGAAUCUCCUGAAGAAGCUAACAAGCCUAAAGAAUUCAAACAAAAUAAUAAUUGUGUUGAUAUGAAAUUAAAAAAGUUGAAAAGAGAGAUUGAGAGGAUUAAAGAAAGAGAUAAGAGCUAAGGAGAAUGACUCA
rnacentral:lncRNA from 1 species